rnacentral:rRNA from 1 species
GACGAACGCUGGCGGCGUGCCUAAUACAUGCAAGUCGAGCGAGUCUGCCUUGAAGAUCGGAGUGCUUGCACUCUGUGAAACAAGAUACAGGCUAGCGGCGGACGGGUGAGUAACACGUGGGUAACCUGCCCAAGAGAUCGGGAUAACACCUGGAAACAGAUGCUAAUACCGGAUAACAACAGAUGAUGCCUAUCAACUGUUUAAAAGAUGGUUCUGCUAUCACUCUUGGAUGGACCUGCGGUGCAUUAGCUAGUUGGUAGGGUAACGGCCUACCAAGGCGAUGAUGCAUAGCCGAGUUGAGAGACUGAUCGGCCACAUUGGGACUGAGACACGGCCCAAACUCCUACGGGAGGCAGCAGUAGGGAAUCUUCCACAAUGGACGCAAGUCUGAUGGAGCAACGCCGCGUGAGUGAAGAAGGGUUUCGGCUCGUAAAGCUCUGUUGCUGGUGAAGAAGGACAGGGGUAGUAACUGACCUUUGUUUGACGGUAAUCAAUUAGAAAGUCACGGCUAACUACGUG